CCUACGGGAGGCAGCAGUGAGGAAUAUUGGUCAAUGGCCGGAAGGCUGAACCAGCCAAGCCGCGUGAAGGACGAAGGUGCCAAGCAUUGUAAACUUCUUUUGUCAAGGGACAAAAUCAGGCUCGAGAGCCUGACCGGGGGUACUUGAAGAAAAAGCAUCGGCUAACUCCGUGCCAGCAGCCGCGGUAAUACGGAGGAUGCGAGCGUUAUCCGGAUUUAUUGGGUUUAAAGGGUGCGUAGGCGGAUUUUUAAGUCAGCGGUAAAAUGUCCGGGCUCAACCCGGGCCGGCCGUUGAAACUGGGGAUCUUGAGUGGGCGAGAAGUAUGCGGAAUGCGUGGUGUAGCGGUGAAAUGCUUAGAUAUCACGCAGAACCCCGAUUGCGAAGGCAGCCUGCCAAGCCAUGACUGACGCUGAUGCACGAAAGCGUGGGGAUCAAACAGGAUUAGAUACCCGAGUAGUC
rnacentral:rRNA from 1 species